AGUAAAGGUCCCACCAUGCCUGGCUUAAGCAAGGUUGAAGCUGCUGCUGGGGGUUGUCCUCCGGACUUCUCCGCCAAGCUCACCAAGCAGGUCGUUGUUUGUUCCAUAAUUGCAGCCGUUGGAGGUCUCAUGUUUGGCUAUGAUAUUGGCAUAUCCGGAGGAGUAACGUCAAUGGAUAGUUUCUUGAAGAAGUUCUUCCCUACUGUUUUUGUCAAGAAACAUCAAGCCAAGGCAAAUAACUACUGCAAAUACAAUAAUCAGUAUCUUCAGCUUUUCACAUCUUCUCUCUACUUUGCAGCCAUUGUGGCUAGCUUUUUUGCUUCCCUUGUUAGCAAGAAGUAUGGCCGGAAACCCACCAUCCAAAUUGCCUCUAUCUUCUUUCUUAUUGGAGCCGUAUUGAAUGCUGCUGCUCAGAAUCUUCCCAUGUUGAUCAUUGGAAGGAUGCUUCUGGGUGCUGGUGUAGGAUUUGGUAACCAGGCAGUUCCAUUGUUCAUAUCAGAAAUUGCACCUCCGAGGUAUAGAGGAGGCCUUAACAUUUGUUUCCAGUUGAUGAUCACAU
rnacentral:misc_RNA from 1 species